rnacentral:rRNA from 1 species
AUUGAACGCUGGCGGCAGGCCUAACACAUGCAAGUCGAGCGGAUGAAGGGAGCUUGCUCCUGGAUUCAGCGGCGGACGGAUGAGUAAUGCCUAGGAAUCUGCCUGGUAGUGGGGGAUAACGUCCGGAAACGGGCGCUAAUACCGCAUACGUCCUGAGGGAGAAAGUGGGGGAUCUUCGGACCUCACGCUAUCAGAUGAGCCUAGGUCGGAUUAGCUAGUUGGUGGGGUAAAGGCCUACCAAGGCGACGAUCCGUAACUGGUCUGAGAGGAUGAUCAGUCACACUGGAACUGAGACACGGUCCAGACUCCUACGGGAGGCAGCAGUGGGGAAUAUUGGACAAUGGGCGAAGGCCUGAUCCAGCCAUGCCGCGUGUGUGAAGAAGGUCUUCGGAUUGUAAAGCACUUUAAGUUGGGAGGAAGGGCAGUAAGUUAAUACCUUGCUGUUUUGACGUUACCAACAGAAUAAGCACCGGCUAACUUCGUG